rnacentral:rRNA from 1 species
GACAGAGGUGCCAAGCGUUAGGCGGAAUCACUGGGCUUAAAGCGUGUGUAGGCGGAUAUCUAAGUACCUUGUGAAAUCCCACGGCUCAACCGUGGAACUGCUUGGUAUACUGGGUGUCUUGAGCCAUCUAGGGGCUACCGGAACAAAUGGUGGAGCGGUGAAAUGCGUAGAUAUCAUUUGGAACGCCAAUGGUGAAAACAGCUCGCUGGGGGUGCACUGACACUGAGACACGAAAGCCAGGGGAGCGAACGGG